rnacentral:rRNA from 1 species
GUACACAAAAAUGCACAUAUUGUGAGCUCGAUGAGUAGGGCGGGACACGUGGUAUCCUGUCUGAAUAUGGGGGGACCAUCCUCCAAGGCUAAAUACUCCUGACUGACCGAUAGUGAACCAGUACCGUGAGGGAAAGGCGAAAAGAACCCCGGCGAGGGGAGUGAAAAAGAACCUGAAACCGUGUACGUACAAGCAGUGGGAGCCUCUUAAUGGGGUGACUGCGUACCUUUUGUAUAAUGGGUCAGCGACUUAUAUUCUGUAGCAAGGUUAACCGAAUAGGGGAGCCGAAGGGAAACCGAGUCUUAACUGGGCGUUAAGUUGCAGGGUAUAGACCCGAAACCCGGUGAUCUAGCCAUGGGCAGGUUGAAGGUUGGGUAACACUAACUGGAGGACCGAACCGACUAAUGUUGAAAAAUUAGCGGAUGACUUGUGGCUGGGGGUGAAAGGCCAAUCAAACCGGGAGAUAGCUGGUUCUCCCCGAAAGCUAUUUAGGUAGCGCCUCGUGAAUUCAUCUCCGGGGGUAGAGCACUGUUUCGGCAAGGGGGUCAUCCCGACUUACCAACCCGAUGCAAACUGCGAAUACCGGAGAAUGUUAUCACGGGAGACACACGGCGGGUGCUAACGUCCGUCGUGAAGAGGGAAACAACCCAGACCGCCAGCUAAGGUCCCAAAGUCAUGGUUAAGUGGGAAACGAUGUGGGAAGGCCCAGACAGCCAGGAUGUUGGCUUAGAAGCAGCCAUCAUUUAAAGAAAGCGUAAUAGCUCACUGGUCGAGUCGGCCUGCGCGGAAGAUGUAACGGGGCUAAACCAUGCACCGAAGCUGCGGCAGCGACACUAUGUGUUGUUGGGUAGGGGAGCGUUCUGUAAGCCUGUGAAGGUGGCCUGUGAGGGUUGCUGGAGGUAUCAGAAGUGCGAAUGCUGACAUAAGUAACGAUAAAGCGGGUGA